GAAGGCGCACCGUCAGGUGCGCGUGAUGCGGGAGAAGUCAGCCGAGGCUGUAGUAGGCCAGCGCGGCCGCGCUGGCUGAAGGGC
rfam:Sulfobacillus acidophilus TPY, complete genome.